UUGUGGCCACAUCAUGUUGAAACAUCUGUUCCCAUAUAAUUACUGAAGUUAAGCAACCUUGUGCCUGGACAGUACCUAGGUGGGUGACCACUUGGGAAUAUCAGGUGCUGUAAG